GACGGAGGAUGCAAGUGUUAUCCGGAAUCACUGGGCGUAAAGCGUCUGUAGGUGGUUUAAUAAGUCAACUGUUAAAACUCGAGGCUCAACCUCGAGACGUCGGUUGAAACCACCUGGCUAGAGUCCGGAAGAGGAGAGUGGAAUUCCCGGUGUAGCGGUGAAAUGCGCAGAUAUCGGGAAGAACACCCGUGGCGAAGGCGGCUCUCUGGGACGGUACUGACGCUGAGACGCGAAAGCGUGGGGAGCGAACAGG
rnacentral:rRNA from 1 species